rnacentral:rRNA from 1 species
UACGAAGGACCCGAGCGUUAUCCGGAUUUAUUGGGUUUAAAGGGUGCGUAGGCGGACUAGUAAGUCAGUGGUGAAAGCCCAUCGCUUAACGGUGGAACUGCCAUUGAUACUGCUAGUCUUGAGUAUGGUUGAGGUGGGCGGAAUGUGUCAUGUAGCGGUGAAAUGCUUAGAUAUGACCCAGAACACCAAUUGCGAAGGCAGCUCGCUAAGCCAUAACUGACGCUGAUGGCACGAAAAGCGUGGGGGAGCAAAACAGG